rnacentral:lncRNA from 1 species
UGAAUAUUAUUAUAGAUAGAGAUAAACUGUAAACAGCAAUAAUGUUCAGCAAAGUAAGAACUAAAAAUAAGUCAGUGUGACCAAAAUAGUCAAUUGACCCCCUAAGGAGUUAUUGCCUUCAUAGUCAAUUUUUAACAAUUUUCUUAAAAUUUGAAGAUUUUCAAUAAUAUUUUCCACAGAAAGUACUGUUAUAGAUAGAGAUAAUUGUAAGCAGCAAGAAUGUUUAGUAAAGUAAGAUCUACAAACACAUCACCAUCACCAAAACACAAUUUUGUCAUGAAUCCAUCUGUGUCCAUUGUUUAAUAUUCACAUAGAC